rnacentral:rRNA from 1 species
CGAACGCUCCCCUUCGGGGGGGAGUGGCGCACGGGUGAGUAACGCGUGGGGACCUGCCCAAGGGUACGGAAUAACGCCGGGAAACUGGCGCUAAUACCGUAUACGCCUUACGAGGGAAAGAUUUAUCGCCCUUGGAUGGCCCCGCGUCCGAUUAGCUAGUUGGUGAGGUAACGGCUCACCAAGGCUACGAUCGGUAGCUGGUCUGAGAGGACGAUCAGCCACACUGGGACUGAGACACGGCCCAGACUCC